UGGGGAAUAUUGCACAAUGGGCGAAAGCCUGAUGCAGCAACGCCGCGUGAGUGAUGAAGGUCUUCGGAUUGUAAAGCUCUGUCUUUUGGGACGAUAAUGACGGUACCAAAGGAGGAAGCCACGGCUAACUACGUGCCAGCAGCCGCGGUAAUACGUAGGUGGCGAGCGUUGUCCGGAUUUACUGGGCGUAAAGGGUGCGUAGGCGGAUGUUUAAGUGAGAUGUGAAAUACCCCG
rnacentral:rRNA from 1 species